rnacentral:lncRNA from 1 species
AUGACCGAAAACAGAGUCCGCAGAGUAAGAAGAAGCAGCAGCAGCUCUGCCCCUGCUCACACGGAAGACUCCGUCUCUCUGCCUCCAAACGUUCUGAAGGCCGCUCAUCUUUCUUCUCUCAGAGAUCUGGUGUCACACCAGAAAAUCACAGUUCGCUUAGGUCUUCGUGUGUCUCUCAGUGAUCCUUUUGACCCUCAGUUCCUCCUCUCCCUGAGCAAAGAGGUCAGUGGAUUAAACAGCACACCCUAGAUAAUUUUAAGGGGCAUGUAAUAUAUCAUUCCCUCGUGUCUGCUCAGAAAAUAAAUGUGUUUCAUUUUGUUGCGAGGGAUUAUAGAUAUAUUCAACUUCAAAAUUGAAAUCAUUAUUGGUUGAAGAAAAAAAGUUAAUAUCAACAGUGCUUUUUCCCCCUCCCCAUAAGAUGUAAAACUAAACUUCGCAAGUUAGAUUACAAUGACCUGAUAAACACGUGUGUGUGAAGAUUUUUGCUGGAAGAGGAGCCAAACAACAAAGUCGCCGCCCAACUAAACAAUGUUCACUGAGUCUAAAGGUCAGAGGCUGAAAUCUCUGUGUUGGUUUUGGUCAGACUCUGAUAUGUUGGUUAUCCGUCAGUAAACAGUGAGGCAACCCCACAGACACUCAGUCAUUUCACUUGUAUUUAAAUCUGUGAAUUUAAUUGGCAUUUUCAGACUGACGGCUCCCUUUGACAGGAUUGUGUGGAUUAAAAGAUUAGAGUCUCAAGAACCCGAGUGACCGCUGAUGUGGUGGAGCACCACUGAAACUAUGUCGCGAGUUAUGUAGAAGAGGGCAGGUGGGACAUGUGAAGCCAUUGAGUUGAAGUCGCUGCUUACGACUCUGCCUUUGUUUUCUGCUUUUCUUUGGCAUAAGCCGGGAAUCUACAACACCGGAGGGAAGGCCGGACUCUUUUCGAUGAGAAUUGUGGGAAUAAAGAAAGCAACUUCUGCACCCUGAGAUUGCCUCUUCCACACUCAACCUCAGGAUUAUAUAGGAGGAAUUCAUGGAGAAAAAAAAUAAUCAUUCUCUUUCUUUUCUGAACACCGUGUUACUGCUGUUGUUUCUUAAAAUAUGUAUUUUUUGAUUAAAGAUUGUUUAAUCAUCCAUUAAAGAUUAACUUAAUUGGUGCAGCCCUGUGUCUUAUGCGGUGACUGACAGUUGGCCCCGCCCAUGGAGCGGAACAGCCAAUAGCAACAGACGCAGAGCAUUCAUUCCCUCCCUCUUAUUGGUGUUUCCAUGAUGUGCUUCUGAUGACCGUGAGGAAGUUUUCCCUGCACGUCGCCGGCUGUGGUGAGUGAUCUGACUGUUCAUUGUAGAUCAUUAUUUUUUUAAAAACGGAAUCCG